rnacentral:rRNA from 1 species
AUGAACGCUAGCGACAGGCCUAACACAUGCAAGUCAGGGGCAGCACAAGGAGCAAUCUGAGGUGGCGACCGGCGCACGGGUGAGUAACACGUAUGCAACCUGCCUGUAAGCGGGGAAUAACCCGUUGAAAGACGGACUAAUACCGCAUAAUACUAAAUUACUGCAUGGUAAUUUAUUUAAACAUUUAUGGCUUACAGAUGGGCAUGCGCAUGAUUAGCUAGUUGGAGAGGUAACGGCUCCCCAAGGCAACGAUCAUUAGGGGUUCUGAGAGGAAGGUCCCCCCACACUGGUACUGAGACACGGACCAGACUCCUACGGGAGGCAGCAGUGAGGAAUAUUGGUCAAUGGACGAGAGUCUGAACCAGCCAAGUCGCGUGCAGGAAGAAUGUCCUAUGGAUUGUAAACUGCUUUUGCAGGGGAAUAAAGUGCAUCACGUGUGAUGUUUUGUAUGUACUCUGCGAAUAAGGAUCGGCUAACUCCGUGCCAGCCGCGGC